rnacentral:rRNA from 1 species
UACAGAGGAGCCAAGCGUUGUCCGGAUUGACUGGGCGUAAAGCGCACGUAGGCGGGGGUGCGCGUGGGGUGUGAAAUCUGGCCGCUUAACGGCCAGGCGCCAUCCCAUACGGCACGCCUGGAGCCUUGCAGAGGUCGGUGGAAUUGCCGGUGUAGUGGUGAAAUGCGUAGAGAUCGGCAGGAACACCCAGGGGGAAACCAGCCGACUGGGCAAGUGCUGACGCUGAGGUGCGAGAGCGUGGGGAGCGAACCGG